GACGAACGCUGGCGGCGUGCUUAACACAUGCAAGUCGAACGGAAAGGCCCUGCUUUUGUGGGGUGCUCGAGUGGCGAACGGGUGAGUAACACGUGAGUAACCUGCCCUUGACUUUGGGAUAACUUCAGGAAACUGGGGCUAAUACCGGAUAGGAGCUCCUGCUGCAUGGGGGGGGUUGGAAAGUUUCGGCGGUUGGGGAUGGACUCGCGGCUUAUCAGCUUGUUGGUGGGGUAGUGGCUUACCAAGGCUUUGACGGGUAGCCGGCCUGAGAGGGUGAACGGCCACAUUGGGACUGAGAUACGGCCCAGACUCCUACGGGAGGCAGCAGUGGGGAAUAUUGCACAAUGGGCGGAAGCCUGAUGCAGCAACGCCGCGUGGGGGAUGACGGCCUUCGGGUUGUAAACCGCUUUCGCCUGUGACGAAGCGUGAGUGACGGUAAUGGGUAAAGAAGCACCGGCUAACUACGUG
rnacentral:rRNA from 1 species